GUGAUACUCCUUCCGUUCGGAAUUACUUGUCUUGGAUAUGGAUGUAUCUAGAACUAAAAUAUAUCUAGAUACAUCCAUUUCUGCGACAAGUAAUUCUGAACGGAGGGAGUAAUUG
rnacentral:pre_miRNA from 1 species